CGAACCCAGAGAAAAGAGUGAGCUACAUUCACAGCCACCAAAAAGUUGGAGUAUGUACAAGCUAAUUUUCCAAGUACCCUGAUAUUGUGUCAUUGUGUGUCCAUCACAAAGUAUAAUUUUACACAGUACAAAAUAGUUAAGUAGAACAUUUUCACGAAUGCUUUACUAUUAAUUGUAUCAGCAUUCAACAGUAAUUAGUAAUGAAAUAUAUAUAUAUUGUUUUUUGUAAUGCUUAUUCCCUACUUAGCACGUGAAUUAAAUAUUUGAUAGUUAUGCAAUGCAACAAAGAUAAAUAUACUCAGUAGCUUAUGCUACUCAUCACCUUUGUAUUUGAUGGGAAGGACACCAUUGGCUCAUUCCUAGUAGUUGGGUUGAGCAAGCUGUGACCAUUCUAAUCAUGAGCAACUAGACAACCACUUAUCACCAAAAUGAAGCCUACUAAAAUUUUAGUCAGCUACCCAAAAGGCCAAAACUAAGAGCAAGUGUCUUGGAUUAUACUAAUUAUGUUUUCUUAUGCACACGCACAUACACCCCUUACUAACAUGCAAUCUACCAGUUACCCUUUUAACAAUCAAUUCACUCUUUUGAACUAAAGAAA
rnacentral:misc_RNA from 1 species